GCGGGUGAGCGAUGGUCGCGCGCCGGUCUCCAAAACCGAGCGCUGUAGGUUCGAUUCCUGCCACCUGUGCCA
rnacentral:tRNA from 1 species